UGUUUGUGUCACCAUAAAAAGCUGAUAUUCAGUCGUGUUUUUUGAUAUUUUGUAAUCGAGUACCUUUUUAAAGGUAAGUUUUUCUGAUUGUAAGGUAGAGAUUUUCUGAUUGUAGGUACUGUUUAUCCAACAGUUUUAAAAUACACAUUUUAUUUCGCGUUUUGUUGUUGGGUCUAAUGGCCGAUCAGCUGUUGUGUGCAGCCGAUAAAUUCAACAAGUAAACAUAUAUUUAAUCGAAAUUAAAUACUCAUAUUUCUAUGUAAAAUGUCACAUUAUUGUAUAAAUAAAUAAUUAAGAAACAAAA